rnacentral:tRNA from 1 species
GUCUUAGAUGGCCUAACUGAUAGAGUUUCGGGCGCGCGAUCAGAUGAACCGGGUUCGAGUCCUGGUCUAGACU